UACCGCCCUAGUUCUGACCGUAAACGAUGCCAACUGUCGAUUCGCUUGUGGAUUUCAUUCAUGAGCGAGGAGGUUCCCGGAAACGAAAGUUUUUCGGUUCCGGGGGAAGUAUGGUUGCAAAGCUGAAACUUAAAGGAAUUGACGGAAGGGCACCACCAGGAGUGGAGCUUGCGGCUUAAUUUGACUCAACACGGGAAAUCUCACCCGGCCAGUACAUUGUAAGGAUUGACAGACUGAUAGCUCUUUCAUGAUUCGGUGAAUGGUGGUGCAUGGCCGUUCUUAGUUCGUGGGCUGGCCUGUCUGGUUUAUUCCGAUAACGAGCGAGACUUUAACUACUAAAUAGUGCGCAAAUUUGCCUUGUGCAUGUUGGUGAUCACUUCUUAGAAGAAUUGGGGGUUUCCAACCUCAAGAGAUUGAGCAAUAACAGGUCUGUGAUGCCCUUAGAUGUUCGGGGCCGCACGCGUGCUACAAUGAUGGUAACAGCGUGAUUGUCCUUUUCCGAAAGGAAUUGGAAAACAGUUGAGAUAUUAUUAUGGCUGGAAUUGAGUGUUGAAAUUUUCUCUCAUGAACGAGGAAUUCCAAGUAAAUGCGAGUCAUCAACUUGCAUUGAUUACGUCCCUGCCCUUUGUACACACCGCCCGUCGCUGCCCGGGACUGGGUUACUUCGAGAAAACUAGGGAUUGAUGUUGUGUAUUCGUU
rnacentral:rRNA from 1 species